CGGUCCUCUGCACUGACUUCCGGUCCGCUUCAUCGGUUUCCGUCCCGCCCUCAGCCUGGAAGGAAGGUUCCGGGCAGGAUCCGUUCCGCCCCGUCUGCCUGGGGAGGCCGUGGGGAGCGUGAGCUGUGGCUGCAGGAGUUCUAAGAACUACGUCAUGUAGUUCAUUAUCGGAUUGGCUACAAGCAUUGUCUUUAGUGUGAGAUCUGAGCCGGGCUGGUAGUGACUACAGGAGACGUGUGAAAAAUGAGAUUACUCAGUGCUGCCUUAAACCAGACCUCCCCGUGGGACGCCCGUCAGAACAGUCCGCCUGCCGGGCCCGGCUCUGCUAGGUGUGUGCUCCA